AGAACCUUGUCCCAAAGUUCCUGGAGUUGGCUCCAGAAAUAUGCAACGUUAUUAGCACACAGAUGGACAAUAUGGUGAUUCAGCACUCCCAUACAUGACUCAGUGCUUAUCACCACGAUAAGGUAACCCUAAAGUGCCUUUUCCUCAGCUGGCACUUAAAGAAAGAAGAAGAAAAAACCCACAGACAAAAAGCAAACAAGCAAAAAAAAAAAAAAAAAUAGACUGUGGG